rnacentral:lncRNA from 1 species
GCUCCUAGCACCUGCCUUAGCUGUUCCUUUAGUUGCAUCCGAUUACCUGUAUAUUUGGACAUAGAUACUUAGCUCAGACCGAAGACUCUAUCUGAAACAUGAAACAUUGUUUUCCCUCUUGCCCAGAAACCUCAAAAUUUACUGAAGUGGUAUUCUGACCACCUGUCUUUCUCAAGGGAUUCAUGUCAGCUAAGCCAGUUUGUCACACUGCUUAGAGAGAAGGGCUAUUAGCUGGUAUUUUCCUGUUUAUUCUGCAGUUUAACUAGCACAGUUAGACAUUAUCCUCUUUCCAUGUAUCAGCUGAGUUCAUUUGUUGAAGUAUUUAUUUCCUUUUAACAGUUGAUUAAAUUUUGUGUUCCUAAAGUUCACAAUACAAAAAUGCUUAAUGAUAUAUUACAAAGUGAUUACCUGUAUAGGCACCAUUCAUUAAAAAAAAAAAAAAUCACCAGAACCCAGAGCCCGCAGCCAGGUCCCUAUAUUCAUCUCCCUCUCCAGAAAAGACAACCACCUCUCAUACUGUUUCAAUAACCAUAUUCAUACAUUUCUUUAUAGUUUUAUCUCUGCAGUGAGCAUCCUUAAACACUAUAGAUUUAAUUAUUUUGUAUUUGGCUUUUAUAUCAAUAUUGUAUUCCAUUGUGAUUCUUUCAGGUUGUUAUUCGGACCUAUUAAUUUCCAUUAGAAAUUGAGGGAAUGUCCAUUAAACAACAAUAGGAUCCCAUACACAACUGCCAGAAUGUCUCAAAUUGAAAAAUCUUGACAAUAUCAGAUGUUAGCAAGGGGUUGAUGUAGUGAAUGCAAAUAUAUGCAAACAUUCUGGAAACCAUUUUACUUUUAUCUACUAGCAUUUGAGGUUGCAUAUCCAUAUCCUCGGACUCAGCAAUUCUGCCCCUAGAUGUUUAUCUCGCAGAAGCACAUGAACAAGUUAUAACCAAAACAUAUUUCAGGAACAUAGCAGCAUUAGUCACAAUAUUUGAAAACUAGAAACUUUCCAAGUGAAUAACAACAGUAGAAAGAUAAGUUACUAAAUUCAUACAAUGAAUUAUAAAGAGUGAGAAAUAUUUGAGUUUUCAAGUUUCUUAUGCUCUUUCCUGUACAUAUGCUAUAUUUCUCACUUUAAAAGAAAAGGAGGCAAAAACAUCUAUAACAAACUAAAACAAAUCUGUACCUCCAUACUGCAAAAUCAGCUACUAGGUCAGUUUAGAUCUUUUGCCUAUCUUUCGCCUAUUGGUUUAUCUAUAUAUUGUUAUCUGUAGGAAUUCUUUUUCUAUAUAGGUUAGACCCUUAGGUCUAUUAUGUGUUGCAAAUACCUCCUAUCUAUCCUAUUGUUUCUUUACUCAUUCUGUUGUUGUUCAGUCAAUAAGUCCUGACUGACACUUUGUGACCUCAUGAAUGGCAGUAAGCCAGGCUUCCCUGUCCUUCGCUAUUUUCCCAGAGUUUGCUCAAACUCAUGUCCAUUGAGUCCGUGAUGCCAUCCAA